rnacentral:misc_RNA from 1 species
GUUUCUACCAAAAUUCCCGUGGCAGUAUCCCUCUCGUCAACCCAUCUUCCUCAGUCUCCGCCAUCUUCUCCUGCGCCCCACCAAUCCGCAACACCACCCUCGACUUCUUAGCUCACCAUUACUCCCCUGACCCACCACUUCCGGUGGCUCGUGCACCUCACCUCCCUCCUUGCGACCCCGAAUACACCGAGUACAACCCAUGCGAGGAUGGUCAACGCUCCCUCAAAUUCGACAGGGACAGACUCAUAUAUAGAGAGAGACACUGCCCAGAAAAG